AUUUAAUUUGAUUGCAAAUGGCUUGUGGACAUAGCCAUUUUCUUCCCAGAAAUGGCUAAUACCUCGGGGGGAUGGGCACUGCUGGAAUUGACUGAUACGUAAUUAACAAUCGCCAUUUUGAUUGGUUGUUAUUUUUGUGCAUCCCAAUCACUGUCCACUUUUUAUUGACUUCAGUAACAGGCUUACCCUGUGGGCAAAGUCCUCUCGUAUUUCUUCUCAGCACGAUAGAGACUCUGCAGAACUUGUGUAUAUUCUUUGUGGAGCCGACAAUCCAAAAACUUGGAUAAUUAUG